rnacentral:misc_RNA from 1 species
GAUGAAGAACGCAGCGAAAUGCGAUACUUGGUGUGAAUUGCAGAAUCCCGUGAACCAUCGAGUCUUUGAACGCAAGUUGCGCCCGAAGCCAUUAGGCCGAGGGCACGCCUGCCUGGGCGUCACACGUCGUUGCCCCCCCAUCUACUCCUUCGGGAUUGCGGGGGGCGGAUGAUGGCCUCUCGUGCGCCUCGUCGCGCGGUUGGCCUGAAUGCCAAGUCCUCGGCGACGCACGCCACGACAAUCGGUGGUUGCGAAACCUCGGUUGCCUGUCGUGUGCGGUCGUCGCGCAUCGAGGGCUCGAAAAAAUUGCCGGGCUUCGGCUCGACUUUCAACGCGACCCCAGGUCAGGCGGGGUUACCCGCUGAAUUUAAGCAUAUCAAUAAGCGGAGGA